ensembl:rRNA 5S_rRNA 5S ribosomal RNA
UAUUUAAAGUAGAUUUCCUUGAACAAGCCCGAUCCCGUCUGAUCUUGGAAGCUAAGCAGGGUCGGGCCUGGUUAGUACUUGGAUGGGAGACCACCUAGGAAGACCAGGUGCUGUAGGCAA